rnacentral:rRNA from 1 species
GUCGAGUUGUUUGGGAAUGCUGCUCAAAAUGGGAGGUAAACCCCUUCUAAAGCUAAAUACUGGCCAGAGACCGAUAGCGCACAAGUAGAGUGAUCGAAAGAUGAAAAGCACUUUGAAAAGAGAGUUAAACAGCACGUGAAAUUGUUGAAAGGGAAGCGCUUGCGACCAGACUUGUGCUCGUCGAAUCAGCCGUCGCUCGUCGGCGGCGCAUUUCGGCGGGCUCAGGCCAGCAUCAGUUCGCUGUGGGGGAGAAAGGCGGUAGGAAUGUGGCUCCUCGGAGUGUUAUAGCCUACCGUAUAAUACCCCUCGGCGGACUGAGGACCGCGCAUCUGCAAGGAUGCUGGCGUAAUGGUUGUCAGCGACCCGUCUUGAAACAC